rnacentral:other from 1 species
CCCAUAAAAUGCACGCAUACUUAAUGAUUGGUAAUUCCUUACUGGUUAAAGAGUUUCGGACUUAAGUAUGAUGUUGUGUUUGCAUAUUGUUCGGGAAACCGAACCGAGUAACAAAUUUUGAGUUACUCAUUCACUUCCUGUAUAUUUUAAACCAUUUUUUAGGUUACAUACCGCUCUUCUAAGAGCGGUAUUUUUUCAU